rnacentral:rRNA from 1 species
AGAGUUUGAUCCUGGCUCAGGACGAACGCUGGCGGCGUGCUUAACACAUGCAAGUCGAACGAUGAAGGUGGGAGCUUGCUCCUACUGGAUUAGUGGCGAACGGGUGAGUAACACGUGAGCAAUCUGCCCCUGACUCUGGGAUAAGCGUUGGAAACGACGUCUAAUACCGGAUACGAGCUGGGACCGCAUGGUCACCAGCUGGAAAGAACUUUGGUCAGGGAUGAGCUCGCGGCCUAUCAGCUUGUUGGUGAGGUAAUGGCUCACCAAGGCGACGACGGGUAGCCGGCCUGAGAGGGUGACCGGCCACACUGGGACUGAGACACGGCCCAGACUCCUACGGGAGGCAGCAGUGGGGAAUAUUGCACAAUGGGCGCAAGCCUGAUGCAGCAACGCCGCGUGAGGGACGAAGGCCUUCGGGUUGUAAACCUCUUUUAGCAGGGAAGAAGCGAAAGUGACGGUACCUGCAGAAAAAGCGCCGGCUAACUACGUGCCAGCAGCCGCGGUAAUACGUAGGGCGCAAGCGUUGUCCGGAAUUAUUGGGCGUAAAGAGCUCGUAGGCGGUUUGUCGCGUCUGCUGUGAAAAUCCGAGGCUCAACCUCGGACCUGCAGUGGGUACGGGCAAACUAGAGUGCGGUAGGGGAGAUUGGAAUUCCUGGUGUAGCGGUGGAAUGCGCAGAUAUCAGGAGGAACACCAAUGGCGAAGGCAGAUCUCUGGGCCGUAACUGACGCUGAGGAGCGAAAGCGUGGGGAGCGAACAGGAUUAGAUACCCUGGUAGUCCACGCCGUAAACGAUGGACACUAGUUGUUGGAAUUAUUCAGUGACUAAGCGAAAGUGAUAAGUGUCCCACCUGGGGAGUACGAUCGCAAGAUUGAAACUCAAAGGAAUUGACGGGGGCCCGCACAAGCGGUGGAGCAUGUGGUUUAAUU